GUUAGGUUAGGUUAGGGUACGGUAGGGAAGGUUAAGUUAGGGUUAGGUUGGGUUAAGGAUAGGUAGGUUCAGUGAGGGAUGGUUAUGUUAGGUUAAGGUUAAGUUAGGUUAGCUGAGGUUAAGGUUAGGUUAUGUUUAGGUUAGGUUAGGUUAGCUGAGGUUAAGGUUAGGUUAAGGUAAGGUUAGGUUUAGGUUAGGUUAAGGUUAGAUUAAGGUAAGGUAAGUUUAGGUUAGGUUAGGUUAGCUGAGGUUAAGGUAAGGUUAGGUUUAGGUUAGGUUAGGUUAGCUGAGGUUAAGGUUAGGUUAGGUUUAGGUUAGCUUAGGUUAGCUGAGGUUAAGGUUAGGUUAGGUUUAGGUUAGCUUAGGUUAGCUGAGGUUAAGGUUAGGUUUAGGAUAGGUUAGGGUAGCUGAGGUUA